UACGUAGGUGGCAAGCGUUGUCCGGAAUUAUUGGGCGUAAAGAGCGUGUAGGCGGCCUGAAAGGUCAGCUGUGAAAACUCGAGGCUUAACCUCGAGACGUCGGUUGAAACCAUCUGGCUAGAGUCCGGAAGAGGAGUGUGGAAUUCCCGGUGUAGCGGUGAAAUGCGCAGAUAUCGGGAAGAACACCCGUGGCGAAGGCGGCACUCUGGGACGGUACUGACGCUGAGACGCGAAAGCGUGGGGAGCGAACAGG
rnacentral:rRNA from 1 species